rnacentral:rRNA from 1 species
CGGCGUGCCUAAUACAUGCAAUUCGAACGGAGAUUAAGUAGCUUGCUAUUUAAUCUUAGUGGCGCACGGGUGAGUAAUAUAUAGCUAAUCUGCCCUACACUAGAGGACGACAGUUGGAAACGACUGCUAAUACUCUAUACUCCUUCUAAGCAUAAGCUUAGUCGGGAAAGUUAAUAAAAUUUGCUUUUUGGUUUCAUCUUGAGAGAUAUGGACGUAUAACAACUAAAUUGAUACGCCGAUGUGGCAAACAUCGGUGUGCUUUAGGCGGGUCAAGGGAGCGCUUGCGCUUCUUGUCGCAAAGAAAGGCUUUGCCUUUCUGCGAAGUCCGUAUUUGUCAAGAUGAAAUCUUGCAAAUGUAUUUUUUCGGUGUAGGAUGAGGCUAUAUCGUAUCAGCUAGUUGGUGAGGUAAUGGCUCACCAAGGCUAUGACGCGUAACUGGUCUGAGAGGAUGAUCAGUCACACUGGAACUGAGACACGGUCCAGACUCCUACGGGAGGCAGCAGUAGGGAAUAUUGCUCAAUGGGGGAAACCCUGAAGCAGCAACGCCGCGUGGAGGAUGACACUUUUCGGAGCGUAAACUCCUUUUCUUGGGAAAGAAUUAUGACGGUACCCAAGGAAUAAGCACGGCUA